GGAGAACCUGCGGUUGGAUCACCU
rnacentral:rRNA from 2 species